UUCAACUGAUGAUUAAUUAGUUUCUCUAAAUUCGCAGUGACCCCCCUACUAGUCCGAAAGGCGCUGUAGGUUAGAGCCGUGUCUGAU
rnacentral:snoRNA from 14 species